GUUGAUCGAGGCCCGCGGGGAAGAGCCAGGGCUGCGGGGACAGUCGGCCCGCGUGUACCGCCGGAGGGACCGGGACCCCGGUGUGCGCGCCCCGCUCCGGGACAGGGGCUGUGCCCCCAACGGGCGCCCACGGACCCCUUUCUAGGCAGGCUCAGUCCCGAACUCGCAAACGCGCGAGGCCUACCGGAUCCCAGUGAGUUUUGCCACCUUAAAAAGUGUAUGCAGGUUUAAUAUCUGCUAUGGAGUUGUUUCUAAAUAUUCCUGGAUUCUUGGAAGGAAAAAAGCCACAAGACUGAAAAAAAUGAGUGAAGCAUUGGUUUGAGUGUGUAGGGGAAAAAAGGUAAUCUUUUAAAAAUAUAUCGAUAAGCAGAUGUGCCAAAGAGCAGAUACUUUAAAAUAAUUCAUGUUUUUCAAAAUGUGUGAUACACGUUUUAAUGGCAGGUUCCAAAUUAAUGUUGCACUCAGGUUAAAUUUGGACUGAUUUGCAUUUCUUAGAGGGCUGGGAGAUCUUGGUUAGUGAGGAAGGUGUUUCAUGCCUUUGAAAUGUAUCUAAUAGCAAAAAGUUGGGCCAAGAUUAAAAUUGAUGUCAAAAUAUUUUCCUGGAGGAAAACUCGUGGUGAUCAUAACUAGGUUAAGUUCCCAUAAAAAUCUGUCGUUUUUAUUCUUGUGUGACUCUUUCCUAAUAUACCACAAACUCAAAGGAACUUUGUCCUAAAACCAGCUGUAGCAAGUAGCUCUAAUCUAGGAGACAGCUCUCCAAUCUAAAUUCAUCCUGAUGUAUAAAAUGAAAAUGCUGAAAUAAUUAUAUGAUUUUUUUCUUUUUUCUUUUUUUUUUUUUGGUUUUUUAAGGCAGGGUCUCCCUUUGUAGUUGAGCCUGGGCCUGAACUCACUAUGUAGCUCGAGCUAUCUUCCUGCCUCAGCCUCCCAAGUACUGGGAUUACAGGUGUGCACUACCAUACCCGGCUAAUCUUUUCUUACCUUUUUGGUACAGGGGAUCAAACUCAGGACCUUGUGCUUUCAAGGCAGGCAGUGGCACCACUGAGCUAAAUCCCCGGCCCAAAUCUUUCUUAUUUUUAAUGGGAGGUGGGUAGUAGAGUUGUGGUCAUUUUGGGAAGCAGCCAACAGCAAACUAAAGUAUGCUGGAUGCAAAGAGAUAAACAGUAUUAAAAAUUAACUCCACUAUUUCUCUGGGGUCUCCAAAAAAUUUAACUCCACAACUGAAAGCAGAUAAACAGCGCUUCAUGCAAAGGCACUCAGCAGUAACAUUGGAUCUAGGUCCAUGGUAUUUAUUGAAAUGAAAGCUUACCCCCAAAAUCUUCAAUAAAAAGUUAAGAAACCUAUGAUUUUUUUGAUCUCAGAAAAAUUUCUUACUAUGAAACAACAUUUUAAAAAAAUAUAACAGCUUCAUUGAGCUAUAAUUUACAUACUACCAGAAAUUUCACCCUUUUAAAAUGUAGUAUAAAUUUAACAAUUUGUAGUCUAGUUUAACGAUUUGUUAAAGUGUAUACGUAAGUAUUUUAUUAUAUUCAUGGAUACUUAGUCACCAUAAUCCAAUUUUAGUCAUUUUGUGAUUCCCAAAGAAACAUACCUGCUAGGAGCCCCUUUGCCAAAUAUCAGUGUCUACUCCUGAACCCUCAGUUUUAUUUCACUAACCUACAUCCCAUCCUUAGCCUUGAUAACUGCAGGUUUUCGUUUGGAAAUCUGCAAGUCUGAGCCUUCCAAAUUCUUUUCUGAGAUUAUUUUGGUUAUUACAGACCCUUGCUUUUCCAAGGACAUAACAUCUUACAUCACAGCUAGAGACACAAUGUUUAUUUUACAUUUAGUAUGUAAAUAUUGACUUUUAAUAUACAUUAUGCUUCUGUGACGUUAGUCUUUUUUUUGUUUUUUGUACUGGAGAUCAAACUCAGGACCUUGGGCUUGCAAGGCAGGCACAGUGCCACUGAGCUAAGUCCCCAGCCUAUGAAACCAAUCUAAUUGACAUAGUGAACUAGAAAUAUCAAUGCUCUUUUUUCCCGUGUCACCCAACUGUAUCUUCAUUUACACAGGUAUUAUUAGACAUAACAUGUCCACAAAUGUAAAGUUCGAUGUAUUAAUAACAUUAGAUUUAAAUCUAUAUAUUGUAUGACAUUCCUGUCGAUGGUAUUCAAGAACUUUUUCAGUAUAGCUAUCCAAGAAAAUAAAGGAAAUGAUAUCUAUCCUCAAAAGGAAACGAGUUUUACUCAGUUUAAUUUUAAAUAACCACUAUACACCUAACCCGCUGUGACCAUUAAUCGAGAUACAGUACAAACCCUUCUUUGCAAAUAAUGUAGCUCACAAAAAGUGGUCCACAAAAUUUUGCUUCUGUUCACAAACUCCCUAUCUGCUGAUGAACACAACCACAGGCGUCUCCCCCACACAAACACAAAUGCAGCCAUCUUACCCCAAAAUCAUAAAACAAAUUCAGUUCGUAAACUGAGGUGGAUUAAGAGAUGCCUAGCAGAUUAAUAAACACUUACGGGUGUCCCUGUGGGGUGUUUCCAGAGAUGAUUGGCAGGUAGGCCAGCAAACAGGUGGGAAGAUCCACUUCGAUUAUGGGUGGCAUCAACCAAUAGGCUUGCAGCCUGGAUGGACUCCAAGGGAAAAAGUAGGAGCCUGGCCUGGUGGAAAAGCUCUGCCCCGCGUUUUCUGCUGGGCCUGUGGACAUCAGACUCCGCUUUCCAGCUUUCCGACGAAGACUUACACCAGGGACUCUCCAGGGAGCUUCCGGGCCUUUGGUGCUGCACCCUUGAUGCCUCUUGUUCCGCGGCUUCCAGCCUCUUGGGCAGAGCAGCUCCUGCAUGGUCAGUCUCUGCAGCGCCACUGUGGACACUCCCACCUCUGAUCCUGUGACCCUUCUGAAUAAAUCCCCUGCACAACUUCAUAUAGCACAGAUUCUCUUCCUGUAGAGCACCCUGGCCAUUGCACCCCUGCUCACUAGAAAAAAGUCUAUCAUCAGUCCUCUAAGAAAACACCAGUGAGGCCGAAUCAGCAGACCAUACAUUCCUAGGCAUGAUCACCUGAGUAACUGAACUGGUCUGGGGAGGUGAUUCUGGCUCAUCCUUGCUGGGCUUUCAACCCGCCUUUUGUUGUUUUGCUAAGUCAGCAUCUCACCUGCCUGUUGCCCAGGCUGAUCGUGAGCUCACGUGAUCCUGCCUCAGCCUCCCUGAACCUGGGACUCCAUAUAGGUAUCCAUUACCAGUCCUGGCUUGAACCUACCUUUUAAACAUUUUGGUAAUAUUUUUCAAUUUUUAUUUGUAUUUAAAAUUAUUGUGGCACUCAAAACAUUUCCAGUUUAUUAAUCAGCUUUCAUGAAAAUGUUAGGUUUUGAGAAUGACUUACAAUUCGUAUUUUUCUAAUGGGGCCAGUUGCUGGUGGAGGUAGGAGGUGUUAGGGAUUGAACCCAGGGCCUUGUGCAUGUUAGGCAAACUACCACUGAGCCACAACCCUAGC
rnacentral:lncRNA from 1 species